rnacentral:lncRNA from 1 species
CUAACACCAAUCUUGCAUCAUUCUGAAAUUAAAUUUUAUUUCAAAAUGAAAUGCAACAUUCAUGAGAACACAAACUUCCACAAUAAAAGUGCACAGGUAAAUAAAAUCAAUUGUGUGUUCAUGAUCUUUAGAAAAAAAUGUAAUUAUUAGUAUUGAAAGCUUCUUUUUGUUAUUAUAAGUAAAAGCCUUGACUGAGCACACAUUUUUAGAAUGGAGCGCUUCCCCACUUCCAAAUUCAAAUUCAAAAUAAUAUUUGGUCAACACUUUUUUACUCCAACAAAGGAGUAGGGACAAUAAGGCCCUUGGCCCAAAAAUUACUGCAAAUUUAAAAGUUAUCAUACAUAUUUAUAAAUUACUGAACAAUAUCUAAGGUACAAGGUAUUCAGAAAAACAAAACAGUUUUGGACAUUGAACAAGUUACCAUGGCAACAAAUCAUGACUUCAUUUGCAUAUUUUGUAAAAUUUCGUGAUUUUCUUUGUUUUUCAUCUAAUUUUUAAGUAUAAUUUAGAUUGAAAAAGUAUGUGCGCACCCAAGAAACAACUUUAUGUUUAGUAAGAUUUUGUCAAUAGUUAUAAUAAAGAUUUUGUUAAAUUAUUUUGUGGUUUCUUGGAUGCGCACAAUGUUUCCACAACAGAAUUAAAGACAGAAAACUGCAUAAAUUCUGUAUUUGUUUAUCAUUUUUGUGAAAAUAGUACAUAUUAUGACGUAAUUGUGAUGUCAUCUCAUAAAAAUCUUAAAGUUUUUCAUUGAUAUUUCUUGAGCCUAUGCAUUUCUAAACAUUAUGUGCCAAUUUGAGAAAGUUAUCAAACAUUUUAUUUCCUUGAAAAGGAGGUCC